rnacentral:rRNA from 1 species
GCAAGUCGAGCGGUAGCAAGAAGCUUGCUUCUCUUGUGAGCGGCGGACGGGUGAGUAAUGCCUAGGAAUCUGCCUGGUAGUGGGGGAUAACGUUCGGAAACGGACGCUAAUACCGCAUACGUCCUACGGGAGAAAGCAGGGGACCUUCGGGCCUCGUGCUAUCAGAUGAGCCUAGGUAGGAUUAGCUAGUUGGUGGGGUAAGGGCUCACCAAGGCGACGAUCCGUAACUGGUCUGAGAGGAUGAUC